AUGUCGCCUUCAACCAUCGGCGUUCGCAUCUCCAACUACUUCCAUGAACCACCACCGCACCUCUAUCUAGAUCUAAUCUGUGCCGAAGCUCCACCUUCAGCCUUCACCGACUACCUCGUCGGAAACCGAAUCCAACCGUCCCCCGCAUCUUUCGCCAUCGUCACUAUGUUAGUUGUUGUUUUUAUUUAUCUUAAUUUCAUGUUUCUUAGGUAG